CCAGCCAUCCCAUUACUGGGUAUAUACCCAAAUGACUAUAAAUCAUGCUGCUAUAAAGACACAUGCACAGGUAUGUUUAUUGUGGCAUUAUUCACAAUAGCAAAGACUUGGAACCAACCCAAAUGUCCAACAAUGAUAGACUGGAUUAAGAAAAUGUGGCACAUAUACACCGUGGAAUACUAUGCAGCCAUAAAAAAUGAUGAGUUCACGUCCUUUGUAGGGACAUGGAUGAAAUUGGAAAUCAUCAUUCUCAGUAAACUAUCGCAAGAACAAAAAACCAAACACCGCAUAUUCUCGUUCAACUAACGGAUUCUAGCCCGGCCAGAUCUGCAGGCGUGAUUGGAACAGACCACAGUCACUGCUU
rnacentral:lncRNA from 10 species